rnacentral:rRNA from 1 species
GACGAACGCUGGCGGUGUGCCUAAUACAUGCAAGUAGAACGCUGAAGAGAGGAGCUUGCUCUUCUUGGAUGAGUUGCGAACGGGUGAGUAACGCGUAGGUAACCUGCCUUGUAGCGGGGGAUAACUAUUGGAAACGAUAGCUAAUACCGCAUAACAAUGGAUGACACAUGUCAUUUAUUUGAAAGGGGCAAUUGCUCCACUACAAGAUGGACCUGCGUUGUAUUAGCUAGUAGGUGAGGUAACGGCUCACCUAGGCGACGAUACAUAGCCGACCCGAGAGGGUGAUCGGCCACACUGGGACUGAGACACGGCCCAGACUCCUACGGGAGGCAGCAGUAGGGAAUCUUCGGCAAUGGGGGCAACCCUGACCGAGCAACGCCGCGUGAGUGAAGAAGGUUUUCGGAUCGUAAAGCUCUGUUGUAAGUCAAGAACGAGUGUGAGAGUGGAAAGUUCACACUGUGACGGUAGCUUACCAGAAAGGGACGGCUAACUACGUG